rnacentral:rRNA from 1 species
UAAACGAAGUGAAUUGAAAUAUCUUACUAACUUCAGGAAAAGAAAUCAAAGGAGAUUCUUUAAGUAAUGUGAAUGAAAUAAGAAAAGUCUUAAACAAGUAAAAUGGAGUGCAUAUCUGUUUGAACAAAAGGGGAACCUUCCUCUAAGACUAAAUAUGAUAUAUAUGUGAUAGCGAAAAGUACCGUGAGGGAAAUGAUUGAAAUAGCAGUCUUAUAAGCAGCUCAAAAAAAGUUUAAAUAAAUGAUAAGAGCGUACCUUUUGCAUAAUGGGUCAGCAAGUUAAUGUUUGAUGCGAGCAGUAUAGAAGUUUAGAAUUAAGAGUUGCUUUAUACAUAUUGCGUAGAUAAAACAAUUAUGAUUUAAUGAUAGAGUAUCAAGGAUUAGACCCGAAACUUAGUGAUCUUACCACAAUCAGGAAUAUAAAAGUCCGAACGGGUUAUCGUUGUAAAGAUAUCCGAAGAAUUGUGGUAAGUUAGUGAAAGACAAUACUGACUAAGAUAGCUGGUUUUCUGCGAAACCUAUAUAAGUAGGUAAUUUAAAUAGAAUAUCAGAAGGUACAGAAUUGUGAUCUCAUGCAACUAGUACUCACUUUUCCUAUUAAUUUAGGAAAACUAAUAAAGUGCUUUUUGCGGACAUUGGGGGGUCGUGAAGACUCUAUCAGUGAGUAUUUGUUCUCGGAAGGACUAGAUAUGAAUAUUGAAUAAUCGGACAUAGUACGAUAAGGUUGUAUGUCUAAAGGGAAACAGCCCAGAACAAGAGUUAAUAAGGUUCCAAAAUUAUUGUUAAGUGAAAUUAAGGGAGUAUUUAUCCCAAACGGCCAGGGAAUAGGCUUAGAAGCGGCCAUUUUCUGAAGACCUCGUAACAGAGCACUGGUUUUGUUUUAAUUAUUUUAGAUAAUAAGGAUAAAAGCACCGAAAAUUUAACGGAUCUAAACAAUAUACCGAGACCUUGUCCAAAUAUAUUAAUAUAUUUAAAAUUUACAUUGUAUAUUUGGGGUAGCGGAACAUUGGGGAAGUAAGUUAUGAAUUUUGCCUUUAUAAGGCAUUUCAAGGGAUACAUAUAAAAGGAAUAAACUAAAAAAAUGAGUUGCUAUAAGGUAUUUUUCUAAUAACCCAAGUGAUAAUGCUGACAUGAGUAACGAUAAAGGGGAAUACCCUCGCCUAAAGCUUAUGGAAUUUAAUUAAAGUUACGGCCUCUAAGUUUAUUAUAACCGUACCUAAAUACUACCACAAGUAAGCAAGUAGAGUAUACGAAGGCGUUCGAGUGAACAAUCAUUAAGGAACUCGGCAAAUUGACUCACGUAACUUCGGGAGAAGGUGGGCCGUCCCUUUUGAUUAAUAUCAGAUAAGGGAUAGGAGGCACAGAAUGGUGUUGUACGACUGUUUAAUUAAAACAAAGCACGCUGCAAAGAAAUAAAUUCGAAGUAUUGGGUGUGAUCUCUGCCCGAUGGCGGCUGGUUAUCGGAUUUGCUUAGUUGACUAAUAUAAGCUAGGCUUUGAAGGAACCCCCGUUCAAUGGCGGCCUUACAGAUGAGGGUCCUAAGGUAGCGGAAUACCCUGGCCGUUAAAUGCGGUCUUGCAUGAAUGAUGUAACGAUACAACAGCUGUCUCAAUGAUUGGCUCGGUGAAAUUGGGAUAACUGUGCAGAUACAGUUUACCUCUAGUUAGACGAGAAGACCCUAUGCAGCUUUACUGUUGCUAGUUACCGAAUAUGAUAUAAUGAGUUUUAGUGUAUAAGGUAGUUGGCGAGAUAAAAUUGAAACACCUUUACUUCAUUUAUCAUAUUAUAUAAACCUUAUCAGGGAAUGGGUCUAGUAAUGGCCAUUUCUUAAAGAUUUCAUGUUAACACAUGAGCACUGGUUGCAAUAAUUUAUAGGAACAAUUGCUAGGUGGCAGUUUAUGCGGGGCACAGAUCCCAUAAAAAGUACCUGGGAGUAUCCAAAUUCAUUUCUGUAAAAUUGCAAUAUGCAAUUAAAUAUGUUUAAAUGAUAAUUACUUUACUUCUCAAGUUUAACGGCUUAAUCUUGCUUUACUGUUUGACUUACACGUCUUUCAGUCGCGUAAGCGGGGCAUAUGAUCACAAGAUGCAGAAAGGAAAGGUCUUGGAUUAUUGAAAAAGCUACGCUAGGGAUAACAGGCUAAUUGCGCCAGAGAGUUCAAAUUGAGUGCGGAGUUUGGCACCUCGAUGUCGGCUUAGCUCAUCCACAUGAAUGCAGGAGUCAUGAAGGGUUCGACUGUUCGUCGAUUAAGGAGCUACACGAGCUGGGUUAAAUACGUCGUGAGACAGUAUGGUUUCUAUCUUCUAGAGGAAAUUAGAAUAAAAUAAGGAUAGCCCCUUGUACGAAAGGAGUUGGGUAUAUUAACCUAUGGUUUACUUGUUGUUUAUCUUUCUAUAUUAAUACAGUAUAGGCACGGCAGGAAGGCUACGUUAGUUAAUGAUAAGUGCUGAAUGCAUAUAGGCACGAAACAUACCUUAGGAUAUUCUUAAAUAUAUGUAGUUUAAUACUACGAUUU